CCAGAAUAGUAAAGGACACCGCAGAUCCCGGGGAAGAGAAGUGGGCAAACAGCCACCUAGGGGACUCACCUUUCCACUGCAGAUCCAUGCAACCCAGGCCAAGGGAGAGCACAUUAUUUCUUCCAAGUCCCUGGAGCUAACUUGGAUGGAGCCCUUCUUCAUGCUGGGAAACUGGGGAAAAGGAGGUUUCUCAGCUUCAUGUCUAGGCACACCUCUAGGCGCUUGGUGGCUGCCCAGUGAGCUUGUCCUUGGAGCUAGUGCUUGUGCCUGAUAUUGUGGGACCUGUAGGUGUGCCUGCUUGAUCUGGCCCCACCCAUCUUGCUCCCACUCUCCAGGGCUGUGCAUUCCACAGUGGUCUGAGCUCCCAGAGAGUUUUAACCAGGAAGCAAGGAUCAAGUAUAUACCCAUCCACAUUGGCUGUAGCCAGCUCUUACCCACAAGAGCCACCUACUGGCUUGGAGAAAUAAUGGCACAGCACUCUAGGAUUUCUGCCGACACAAGUACAUAACACUGGAGAAAGUUAAACUUCCUGACCACUGCCAAUUUGGCCCCACAGGAGGCAGUGAGCCUGCUCACAUGCCCAGAACAUCACUACUAUAACCAGCAUUUGGAUAAACCAUCAUAAAAAGGCUACCUAUAACCAAGGAAUUUAUACAGACACUUUGACACUGAAAAUACCCAGAACCGGAGCUCUAACCCUUAGCACAGUUCACCCGUAAGGGAUGGGGAAGAGCAGCUGACCAAAGGCCACCUUGGGUAAAAGGCAAUGUGGGCGUGGCACUAGUCACUGAAGGCAGCACCAUCACAGCUCAGGAGCAGACAUGGAAAGGAGGUCAUCUCAUCCCCCAUUCCACCCUCCUCAGUGCACUGUUGAAGACUCAGUAGUAGCUCUUCCCAUCAGGGCUCGGAAGCAUGGGCUGAAAGAGAUCAAUUCUAAGCAUUCUAUAGUGGUUCCACCUCCACUGAAGGUGAAUGUAUACUUGAGGAAAAUGCUUUUCAUACUUCUUUAUUGCCUCUGCUUCUGCACCUACCUGCCAGCUCUUACUCUUAAAUGCCAACUACUGGACUGCAGCUUGAACUGCACCACCAAACAAAAUUACAUUGCUACUACAAGCAACAUCUGAGAAAGCCAUUGCAUGAAACUGCCUGCAGCCAAGGAGUCCAUACAGAGCGUUGGCACCCUGAAAGCACCCAGAAACUAAGCCAAUUAGUCAUGUUUAAUAUACACCACAGUUGUAUCUACAAGGGAAGAAAGAGCAAAAAAUCAAGAAGUCCCAUCCAAACAAAAGUAAAAUUAAAAAAA
rnacentral:lncRNA from 10 species